rnacentral:rRNA from 1 species
AGGACGAACGCUGGCGGCGUGCUUAACACAUGCAAGUCGAGCGGUAAGGCCUUUCGGGGUACACGAGCGGCGAACGGGUGAGUAACACGUGAGUAAUCUGCCCUUCACUCUGGGAUAAGCACUCGAAAGGGUGUCUAAUACCGGAUACGACCGUCCCUCGCAUGAGGUGGUGGUGGAAACUUUUGUGGGUGGGGGAUGUGCUCGCGGCCUAUCAGCUUGUUGGUGGGGUAAUGGCCUACCAAGGCUUCGACGGGUAGCCGGCCUGAGAGGGUGACCGGCCACGACUGGGACUGAGACACGGCCCAGACUCCUACGGGAGGCAGCAGUGGGGAAUAGUGGACAAUGGGCGGAAGCCUGAUCCAGCAACGCGCGUGAGGGAUGACGGCCUUCGGUCGUAAACCUCUUUCAUCAUUGACGAAGCUUCGACGUUGAGUGGGUAGACGGUAGGUGGAGAAGAAGCGACCGGCAACGUACGUGACCAGCAGCCGC